UACGUAGGUGACAAGCGUUGUCCGGAUUUACUGGGCGUAAAGAGCGCGCAGGCGGUCGUUCAAGUCGGGUGUGAAAGCCCCCGGCUCAACUGGGGAGGGUCAUUCGAUACUGAUCGACUCGAAGGCAGGAGAGGGAAGUGGAAUUCCCGGUGUAGUGGUGAAAUGCGUAGAUAUCGGGAGGAACACCAGUGGCGAAGGCGACUUCCUGGCCUGUUCUUGACGCUGAGGCGCGAAAGCGUGGGGAGCGAACAGG
rnacentral:rRNA from 1 species